GAUGAACGCUGGCGGUAUGCUUAACACAUGCAAGUCGAGCGGACUCUUCGGAGUUGGUGGCGGACGGGUGAGUAACGCGUGAGAAUCUGGCUUUGGGUUCGGGACAACCACUGGAAACGGUGGCUAAUACCGGAUGUGCCGAGAGGUAAAAGAGAAAUUGCCUGAAGAUGAGCUCGCGUCUGAUUAGCUAGUUGGUGAGGUAAAGGCUCACCAAGGCAGCGAUCAGUAGCUGGUCUGAGAGGAUGACCAGCCACACUGGGACUGAGACACGGCCCAGACUCCUACGGGAGGCAGCAGUGGGGAAUUUUCCGCAAUGGGCGAAAGCCUGACGGAGCAAUACCGCGUGAGGGAAGAAGGCUCUUGGGUUGUAAACCUCUUUUCUUAGGGAAGAACAAAAUGACGGUACCUAAGGAAUCAGCAUCGGCUAACUCCGUG
rnacentral:rRNA from 1 species